rnacentral:tRNA from 1 species
GGCAGGGUAGCUCAGUCGGUUAGAGCGAUGCCUUCAUAAGGCAGAGGUCGUGGGUUCGAGUCCCACCCCUGCUACCA